rnacentral:rRNA from 1 species
GAUGAACGCUGGCGGUAUGCUUAACACAUGCAAGUCGAACGGACUCUUCGGAGUUAGUGGCGGACGGGUGAGUAACGCGUGAGAAUCUGGCUUUGGGUUCGGGACAACCACUGGAAACGGUGGCUAAUACCGGAUGUGCCGAGAGGUAAAAGAGAAAUUGCCUGAAGAUGAGCUCGCGUCUGAUAGCUAGUUGGUGAGGUAAAGGCUCACCAAGGCAGCGAUCAGUAGCUGGUCUGAGAGGAUGACCAGCCACACUGGGACUGAGACACGGCCCAGACUCCUACGGGAGGCAGCAGUGGGGAAUUUUCCGCAAUGGGCGAAAGCCUGACGGAGCAAUACCGCGUGAGGGAAGAAGGCUCUUGGGUUGUAAACCUCUUUUCUUAGGGAAGAACAAAAUGACGGUACCUAAGGAAUCAGCAUCGGCUAACUCCGUG